rnacentral:lncRNA from 1 species
CACUUCCUCUUCCUCCCCCCGUGAGCCCCGGGCUCAAGUCAGACCGAUGGAGAGAGCAGCACGGAGCAACCAGACAGCGCAUCCCGCUCCCGGGCAGUCCGGCUCAGAGCCCUCGGUACCCCCUGGACCGCAGUGACAUGAUUGCCCCCCGCCUUGUGAUGUUCCUCACCACCGUGCAUCUCCUGCCCUGCCAGAUGGUCUCCGAGGAAGGUAACUCCUCUGGGGUCUCCUUAAACAGGGGCUGAGCUGCUGGGGGCACGGCUGGAUUUGGGGUCCCACAGGUGUGACUGUCUGGGAGACCCUCAGCCUCAUUCCCCCUCCCCAUAACAACCCAGUGGUGAAAUUGGGUGCUGGGGAUUUUUCGUUAUCUCACUUUGUUGAGGUCCUGCCUCGUGUCAACACACUGGUGCCGCAGUCCCUGCCCCGACCCUCUGGGUGCUGCAGGGACAGAAGGAAUAUUUCUUUGGAGACGCUGUCACGCUGGUGUGCACCACUCCCCCCAGCAUCACUGGGAAGCUGACGUACCAAAUUUUUGGCGAGGCUGGCUGGGCAGUUUCAGGAUUUAGCUCGACGAAUAACUACACGUUUGAGUUCGUCCUCUCCCGAAUGCAACACAGGGGGCCGCAUUUCUGCAGCUAUUCCCUCAAGCAAGGUCGGAAGCAGCUCAUAUCCCCAACCAGCGAAAAACUGGUGAUCAAGAUUGGAGACCACCUUCCCCAGCCCCUGCUGAUGGUGGAGUCCCCGCUGGGAGAGGUGAUGGCAGGAGAUCUCCUGAGCAUCAUCUGUAAGGCCCCUGGAGACGCCACUGUACGGAGGUUUCACUUCUACAGGGAUGGCCAAGAGGUCCUCCCUACGACAGAAGGCUCUGAGGACAAUGCAGCAGAUCACGGGGGCAAUUUAAGGACUUCCAUGGUCCUCCAGCUCCCACGUGCUGGUCCCCAACAGAGUGGAAACUUUACCUGCAAGUAUGAGGAAAAAAAGCCUGAGAGGUGGAUCCCGUCCUUCACAAGCCAAGCCGUGUCUAUCAGUAUAAAUGCCCAAAAGAAAGGGAAGAGCUGCUUCCUUCUUCUACGGCUCCUGGUUGUGGGCGGCUGCUUCCUCACCAUCAACAGCCUCAUCCUCCUCUUCUUCUGGGCUCGGGGGAGAACCAAAGACGCCUCGUUCCUGUCUGGAGCCAGCCCUGCCGGGAUCUCCCAGCUGCACGCCAGAUCCCCACACACCCUUCAGGAGGAUAAUAAGUACGAGGAACACUAAUGAGAGGAAGAUGCUGUGGGCAAUUCCACCCCCUAA